GACGAACGUUGGCGGCGUGCUUAAUACAUGCAAGUCCACUGAAGCAGUGGUAGCAAUAUCGCUGUGGAGGUGGCGCACGGGUGAGUAACACGUAGGUAAUCUGCCUUCAGGUCUGGCAUAACUCCGGGAAACCGGGGCUAACAGCAGAUGAUGCAGCGGCUCGACAUCGAGACAGUUGUUAAAGCUAUGGCGCCUGAAGAUGAGCCUGCGUCUGAUUAGCUAGUUGGCGGGGUAACGGCCCACCAAGGCAACGAUCAGUAGCUGGUCUGAGAGGAUGAUCAGCCACACUGGAACUGAGACACGGUCCAGACUCCUACGGGAGGCAGCAGUAAGGAAUAUUGCUCAAUGGGAGAAAUCCUGAAGCAGCAACGCCGCGUGAGGGACGAAGGGCUUUUGCUUGUAAACCUCUGUAGUGAGAGAAAAAAAUCCCAAUCUUUGGGACAUGAUGGUAUCUCAAAAGUAAGCCCCGGCUAACUACGUG
rnacentral:rRNA from 1 species